rnacentral:lncRNA from 1 species
UAGCACUGGCUCAGAAAAGCCCAGGCCUUCCAAGAAUGUAACCUUCAUGGAGAAAUUCUGCGACUCUUUCUCCUCUUGGGAGGCUAGAGAGGUAAGACGUAGAAGGAGAGAGAGAAAAAGAGACACGGAGAAAUUUGCCUUGUUAGUGGCUUUCAGGAGAACAAGGCCAGAAGACACAGAGUCCCGGACCUUAUCCACGGUUCCCACACUGGCAUGAUGAAAGCCUGGAGCUGUCUACGAGCAUACAGACCUUGGGGAAAGAGGAGGAAGUCAUAGUGUAGCGCAAAGCUGAACCUCAAGAGGGCAGGAAUGCUGAUGACAUCAUUUGAGUCUCUGGGUCCACUCCGCCCUGUUCUUCCCAGUUAUGUGAAUCAACCAAGUCCCUUUAUUCCUUCACCUAAUGUGAACUGACAAAUCUCAUUCAAUUUAUGGCAAGGGAGUGAGAUUUAAUAAUCUGGUUCUUAGAUUCUGGAAAUGAUUCUUAUUUAGUGCCAAUACUCCUGUAUAGGUGAAUACAUAUCUAUUUUUGAGAAAUCAAUACACAUUUGUAUGCCAAGGCCAAAUUUUGAACUUUUCUUUUAACAUCAGAUAUGGAUUUUAGCCACACUAAGCAAUGAAACUAAGAUGUAAUCACUUGUAUUUACUUUCAUUUGUACCCUAAGUCAUUAGAUGGAUGGCAUGUGAAUAGAGCAAUCUUUCUGGGCCUGCUUUUUCAUCACCCUUAGAUAUGACCACUGAACUCCCUGUGGUUUGUGCUUGUUGCUCUCACAUUUCUACCAGAUUGGGGGACGUCUGCCCAUCACAGUUCACUGGGCACAAUAGAAGUGAGGUGGGGAAAAUCUCCCUGUACAUGCCAAUGCAGUUAGCUUCCUGACAGUGCCUUCGCCCAUCCAUUCAAUUAAAUCAUCCAUUUAUUCAUCAGUUGUUUUUUGAGUUCAGACCCAGAGACAGUACUUGGUGUUGGGGACACAAGUGAGACACAUGCCUGUCCUAACUAAGCU